UUUUUUUUUCUUUUUCUUUCUUUUUUUUUUUUUUUUUUUUUUUGGUCCAUAUGGCGGUUUCCAAGCUAGGAGUCAAAUUGGAGCUGUAGCUGCUGGCCUAUGCUACAGCCACAGCAACAUGGGAUCCGAGCCAUGCCUGCAACCUACACCACAGCUCACAGCAACAUGAGAUCCUUAAUGCACUGAGCAAUGCCAGGGAUUGAACCUCACGGAUACUAGUCGGGUUCAUUAACCACUGAGCACAACGGGAACUCCUGAUGUCUCCUUUUAUGGCUGUUAGCCUUUAAAUUAUAUAUUUAGGUACACCUAUGUUGGGUGCAUAUAUAUUUAUAAUUUUUAUUUCUUCUUGGAUUGAUCUCUUGAUCAUUAUGUCCUGUCCUUCUUUGUCUUUUGUAACAGUCUUUAUUUUAAAGUCUGUUUUAUCUGAUAUAUGUAUUGCUACUCCAGUUUUCUUUUGAUUUCCAUUUGCAUGGAAUACCUUUUUCCAUCCACUCAUUUUCAGUCCAUAUGUGUCCCUUGAUCUGAAGUGGAUCUCUUGUAGACAGCAUAUAUAUGGGUCUUAUUUUUUGUAUCCGUUCAGCCAGUUUCUGUCUUUUGGUUAGAGCAUUUAAUCCAUUUGCAUUUAAGGUAAUUACUGAUAUAUGUUGUUAUUGCCAUUUUAUUAAUUAUUUUGGAUUCGAUUUUCUAGGUCUUUUUGCUUUCCUUCUUCUUUUGUUCCCUUCUCAUAAUUUGAUAGCUAUCUUUAGUUUUGUUUGGAUUGCUUUUUCCUUUUUGUGUUUCUGUUGUAGAUUUUUGUUUUGUGGUUCCCAUGAGGUUUUGAUGUAAUUGUCUGUAUAUCCACUGUAUAUACAAGAUUGUUUUAAAUUGCCAGUCUUUUAACUUCAAGUGCAUUUCCAAUAUCCUGCAUUUGUACUCUCCUCUUCUCAUGAUUCCUGGUUUUGAUAUCAUAUUUGUGUGUGGAUGAUUUUCUACCUUUACUGUGUAUUUUCCUUUACUGGUGAGCUUUCCCAUUUGUAAGUUUCUUACUUCUGGUUGUGGCCUUUUCUUUUCUGCCUAGAGAAGUUCCUUUAACAUUUGCUGUAGAGCUGGUGUGGUGGUGGUGAAUUCUCUCAGCCUUUGCUUGUCUAUGAAGUGGUUGGUUUCUCUGUCAAAUCCGAUUGAAAGCCUUGAUGGGUAGAGUAUUCUUUGUUGCAGGUUUUCCCUUUUCAUCACUUUAAAUAUGUCAUACCAUUCCUUUCUGGCUUACAGAAUUUCUGCUGAAAAGUCAGCUGAUAACCUUAUGGGGAUUCCCUUGUUUGUUAUUUGUUGGUUUUCCCUUGUUGCUUUUAAUAUUUUCUCAGUCUUUAAAUUUUUUCAGUUUGGUUAAUUUGUGUCUUGGCAUGUUCUUCCUUGGGUUUAUCCUGUAUGAAUCUCUCUGUGCUUUCUGGGCUUGAGUGAAUGUUUCCUUUCCCAUGUUAGGGAAGUUUUCAGCUUUUAUCUCUCCAAAUUGUUUGUUUGUUUGUUUGUUUGUUUUUGCCCCCCUCUCUCUUCUCCUUCUGGGACCCCUGUAAUGUGAAUGUUGGUGCAUUUAAUGUUGUCCCAUAGGCAUCUUAGACCAUCUUCCUUUCUUUUCAUUCUUUUGCCUUUGUUCUGUUCCACAGUGAUGAUUUCCACCAAUCUGUCUUUCAGUUCACUUUUUUGUUCUUCUGAUUCAUUUAUUCUGCUCUUGAUCCCUUUUAGUGUAUUUUUCAUUUCAGUUAUUUCAUUUUCAUCUCUGUUCUUUAAAUCUUCUAGCUCUUUGUUAAUUUUUUUUUUUUUUAUCUUCUCAGUCAGCGCCUUCAUUCUUUCUCUAAGAUCUUUGAUCGACAUUACUGUCAUUAUUCUAAAUUCUUUUUCAGGUCAAUUUCUACUUGACUUGGUUGUUCUUUUGGAGUUUAGCCUUGUUCCUUUAUCUGGAACAUAUUUCCCUGCUAUCUCAUUUUUUCUCACUUUCUGUGUUUGUGGUCUCCAUUCCUCAGGCUACAGGAGUGUAGCUCCUCUUGCUUCUAGUAUCUGCCCCCUGGUGGGUGAGGUUGGUCCAGAGGCUUGUGCAGGCUUCCUGGUGAGAGGGACUGCUGCCUGCCCACUGGUGGGUAGAGCUGGAUCUUGCCCCUCUGGUGGGCAGCGCCGUGUCAAGGGGUGUGUUUAGGGACAGCUGCGACCUCAGAACAACUUAAGGCAGCUUAUCUGCUGAUGGAUGGAGCUGUGUUCCCAUCCUGUUGGUUGUAUGGCCUGAGGCGUCCACAUCCCAGCACUGGAGCCUGCAGACUGUUGGGUGGUGCCAGAUCUUGGUGCCAAAAUGGCAACCUCUGGGAGAACUUGCGCUGAUCAAUAUUCCCUGUGUCCUUGCCCCCACAGUGAGCCACAGCCAACUGCCAACUCCCCUGGAGACCCUCCAAGACCCACAGUUAGUCUGGCCCAGGAUCCUAUGGAGUCACUGCUUUUCCCUUGGUCCCAGUGCACAUGAAACUUUGCGUGUGCCAUCCAGAGUGGAGUUUGUGUUUCCCCAGUCCCGUGGAGCUCCUGCACUCAAGCCCCACUGGCCUUCUAAGCUAAAUUCUCGGGGGGCUCCUCUUCCCCUUGCCAGACCCCCAGGCUGGGGAGCCUGAUGUGGGAGAACCUCUGCGAUAGAUUUAUUUUCCAGUUUAUGGGACACCCGCUCAGUGGGCAUGGGAUUUGAUUAUAUCGCUAAAAUUCCCCUCCUAUGGUUUCAUUGUGGCGUUUUCUUUGUCUUUGUAUGUAGACUAUCUUUUUUGGCAGGUUCUAGUCUUUUUUGUUAUGGUGUCAUUGGUUGUGAUUUUGGUGUGUUUGAGAGAGGAGAUGAUCUCAGUUUCUUCCACUCUGCCGUCUUGUGUGCCAAGUAUGAGCCUCACAAGAGUUUUCUUGUCUGCAAAAUGAGAAGGAGCUGACUCAUCUCUUUGUUGUAUUGAACAAAUUACAUGAAAUAAUGUCUUUAUCACAUGAUUUCUGGUCUGCAAUAGCCAUGCGAUAAAUUGUGAUUAUUACGGUGAGCAGGACAUGAGCCAGUGGUCCCUGGAGCUUUGUUGUGGUUCUACCCAUGGGGACAAGGCAUCUGAGGUUCCUUAGGGUGUGACCAACACUAUGGAUCUUUUCGCAAUUGAGAUUCUUUCCUGAAUCUAAACUUUGGCUGGCUGUUGAUUCAUAGGAUUUUCAAGUCUUACGUGGAAAAAAGGUAAGAAGAGAGCUCCAGAAAGAGAAAGCUAGGGUUAGCUUAUUCUCUAGGCUCGGUUCUUCCCCUUGAUUUUAGGUGGAGUCAAAUCUCCUGUCUCUUCAUUUCCAACUGGAACAGUGAAGUCCCAAGAUAUGUGCUUCCUUUUCAGACAAAAUAGCUACUCCCCAAAGCAAGUUUCCAGUUUUUCCUGCAAAAGCUCCCUGGGGCGCAGGGAUCUGUAGUCCGGCACCUAGUUAAAUGCCUCGAUUAAGGAUGCAGUCACAGCUAUUUGGCUCUGUAAAUCAUUUGACCCUCACCUAGAGCAUUCCAGGUCUCUGGGGCCCCAGCAAUGACCAUUCAGAAUCUUUGAGGACAGGGCGGCACUGGAGACAGCUGUUAUCCUUGGUGGAGAGAGAGCCUCUUCUUUGGCGGUGAUAGUUCUUUGAAUUAAGGUUUUCUUUUCAUUAAAGUUUUCUAGCAAAGAUGUGUGUGUGUAAAAGUGAGAAUAAAAAGAGGGGAAAGGCAAAAGGCCCAACAGUGUACAGAAACUAUUAGCACAAAGGCCAGGGGAGGGACUUGCCCGGGGAGGACAAGGAAGUGAUUUUGCCCAGUUUAAAUCCCACUUGAACCGUGUGGUUUCUGAGUCCUGAACCUUUUGAGGUUCGAGUUGAGUGCACUCUCAACAAAACGUGAUUUUCUGGUUCACAUCAAAAAGGCUUUAAAAGACUUCGAAGUCUUUUCCUUGGGACAUCAAACAGUCCUCCACAAAGCAGGGUGCUGAUGAGAUGCGUGCAAAUGACCAGAUUAAAUUCUCCCGCGAGGAUUCGAUUCUCCUUGAGAAGCAUGUGAGGUUGGAGACCCGGGGGAGAUGGGUCUACGCCAAACAUACCCCCACGCGGGACCCGAUGCCCUUGAGCGUGUUUCUUCUCAGUACCUCCCCGGGCCGGAGGCUGACCUUAUUUGUUAUAAGGUUCACAUCAGAGUACCCAGGGAAUUAGGAGCUGAAAACAAACUCUUCUGUAUUCUCUGUCUUGCCUAAGGCAACACUUAGGUCCCCCAAUAAAAGGUGUAAAUUAACUUAGAAAAGAUAGGCCAUUCCUUUGAAAAAUUGUCAGUUGUCUAGGUGGCUUAGAGCAGAAUUUUGCUUAUUGAACCAGCCUCAGUCUUUAGAGGAAUAAGGACUUCGGUGUCUGCUGCCUUAUGGUAAAUGGACUAGCUGACUUUGAGAUUGGCGUAGCAAACCAGCCCGCGCAGGGGCUGCCAGCAGUGGAUGCUCACGGCACAGGCACAGCCGUGGGUGGGUCAACGGCCCGAACACCGUCUCUGGGCCGAGCGGCUAAAAUAUUCAUGAUUCGCUUUCAGGGGGAGAGACGCCGAUGUGGCUCCUCUCCUGAAGGAACCAUAAUUAGCAAUUAAAGCAUAUUUAAAAACCUGUUCCAACCGGCAGCUUCUAAAUAAAUAAUUGUCGCUGCCGAUUGGACUUGUUUUCUCCCCCUGUGUUUUCCUUAUCUCUUUCCCCCUCGUAUAACUCACAACCCUGCAAAUGCUCGGUCGCCUUUAAUAGGAUUCUGUCAAUACGUUUACCAUGGCGACUUGGGUUGUAUUUGGCGAGCGUUUGAAGAAAUCAGUCACUGGUUGGAGGGAGGAAAGACAAGCUGUCGAUAUCCAGGGAGAAAUGCUAAUAACCCUGGUGACAAAUCGUCCUCUGGAUUCUCCCCGGGUUAAGAAAAAGCACCUCUUAGACGUGGGAGCUCAGGGCUAAGUGGUGGUGACUUGUUAGGAAGAGCAGACAUUAGCUGUCACGGACCUGCCGUGUCCUUUUCAUUGUCUCACUGUGCACCUCUCAAAGCCAUGGGUGAGUUUUGGAGACGGAUGGGACUGGAGGUGGGUCCUGAUUCCCCUGCUUUUUAACUGUGUGACCUUCAUUUUCUCAUCUGUGAGUUAAAGAUUGAAAUACCUAGCCUCAGAAAAGGGUGGGAGAGGCCUUGCCCAAAGAUAUUAUUCACUGCUUCUCAAACUAUUCUGGGAAAGGACACAAAUGAUAGAUGAAAAUAAACAUCUGGCCCCGGGCUUGUGAUGGUGAACAGAGAAUAUCAUGUAUUGAGGAAUCUUGCAUUAUCUUAAGUUUUUGUGAAUUUUGUGUUGUGAGUUUAAUGUAUCAAAAUAAUGUUGAAAUGUACUUUAGCAUUAGUAAAAUCAGUGCUGUGAUAGGAUGCAUUAAUUCAACACCUAUUUAUUGAAUGCCUACUAUGUGCCAGGCAGAUUUAGACACAAAGGCUAUAGCCGUGAAUACAGUAGGUGAGAUCUGGACUCCCAGUGAGUUUACAGUUGUGCGUUAAUCAGGAAACCUAGUAUUGCGUAUGUCUCAGGUCCUCUGUGACCCUGUUGAGGGGACACCAAACCCUACACCAGAGCAUCCUGGGGAGGACUGGCUAUUUGCCAUGGUUUUAAGCAGGGGGAGAUAGUGAAACCUCUACACGGCGGGAACUAUGAGUAUUUUGGUAUAUAUCCUUCCAGCUUCCUUUUACAGAUAGAAAAAUUGACAAAAAAAUUUAUUAAAGUAAGAUUAUAGUAGUGCGCUAGCUUGUGACUUUCUUUUUCAUUUACUAUGGAUAGUUCUCGCGUCAGUAAAUAAAGCUCUGUGGCACCACUCUUAAUAGCUACUUUUUCCAUUGCACGGCUGUAUCCUAUUUUAUUUAACCACCCUCUGGUUGUCUAAUUAUAUUGUUUCCGGCUUUUCAGUAUUAUAAACAACACUUACAGAGAACAUCUUUAUAAAUUCAGCUUUGUCAAGUGUCUGAUCAUUUUUUUAGGAUACCUAAAAGUAGAAUUGCUGGAUAAAAAAUAUACAUCUUUCAAUUUUAAUGCUCAUUGCCAGAUUACCUACUUCUUUAUGCUCUUAUCAACACAUUAUGAUGAAAGUUUUAAAUCUUUGCCAGUUUGAUAAGCAAAAAUGGUAUUAUGUUGGUGUUCCCAUUGUGGCUCAGUGGAAAUGAAUCUGACUAGUAGCCACGAGGACUCAGGUUAGAUCCCUUGCGCAGUGGGUGAAGGAGCCAGCGUUGCCGUGAGCUGUGGUCGCAGACUCGACUUGAAUCUGGUGGUGCUGUGGCUGUGGUCUAGGCCAGUGGCUACAACUCUGAUUUGCCCCCUAGUCUGGGAACCUCCACAUGCCAAGAGUGGGGCCCUAAAAGCCCAAAAAAAAAAAAAAAA
ensembl:lncRNA